AUGAGCGGCGGACGGGUGAGUAACGCGUGGGAAUAUGCCCUUCUCUAAGGAAUAGCCUCGGGAAACUGAGAGUAAUACCUUAUACGCCCUUCGGGGGAAAGAUUUAUCGGAGAAGGAUUAGCCCGCGUUAGAUUAGGUAGUUGGUGGGGUAAUGGCCUACCAAGCCUACGAUCUAUAGCUGGUUUGAGAGGAUGAUCAGCCACACUGGGACUGAGACACGGCCCAGACUCCUACGGGAGGCAGCAGUAGGGAAUCUUAGACAAUGGGGGAAACCCUGAUCUAGCCAUGCCGCGUGUGUGAUGAAGGCCUUAGGGUCGUAAAGCACUUUCGCCAGAGAUGAUAAUGACAGUAUCUGGUAAAGAAACCCCGGCUAACUCCGUGCCAGCAGCCGCGGUAAUACGGAGGGGGUUAGCGUUGUUCGGAAUUACUGGGCGUAAAGCGCACGUAGGCGGAUUAGUAAGUUAAAGGUGAAAUCCCAGGGCUCAACCCUGGAACUGCCUUUAAUACUGCUAGUCUUGAGUUCGAGAGAGGUAAGUGGAAUUCCAAGUGUAGAGGUGAAAUUCGUAGAUAUUUGGAGGAACACCAGUGGCGAAGGCGGCUUACUGGCUCGAUACUGACGCUGAGGUGCGAAAGUGUGGGGAGCAAACAGGAUUAGAUACCCUGGUAGUCCACACCGUAAACGAUGAAUGCCAGACGUCAGCAAGUAUACUUGUUGGUGUCA
rnacentral:rRNA from 1 species